CAGCGCCCGGGUGCGUUCAGUCCUCGCCCGGCCGCCGCCACCCGAGUCGGCCGCGAGAGCGAGGGGCGCACUGGGUCAGAGGCGGCUGCUGGCCAGCGACUACCCGCGCGCGCUCCUCCGCGAAGUGAAGUUGCUGACACACAGGAAACCCUCCGGACCGCCGAGCCCCGCGCCGCUGGCGCCCGAGCUGGCGUCCUGGAGCACAAGUGUCCGGGGCCCAGCCCAGGCCAGGUGCUCGCAGGCUCCCGCAGCUCGCGGUCCCCAACCGGGAACGCCCUGGCUGAGCCUGGCACGUCAAAUAAACCGACGUCACGAGUCACGUCAGUGUGAGAAGUCAAAAGGAGCCUGGUGAAAAUUCCCGGAGUUGAUUUACACGCUGCUUCAGUUAACACCCCCUAGACAAGCCAGCUCUCCAAAUCCUCCCUGGAGCACGUCUAACCAAAAGAUCAGAAACUCCAGUGAAAGAAAGAAAAAAAAAAUCAAAAUUAAACCUUUUGGAAGUAAUUUGAAUAUUAAAUCAGCUUUAUGUAAAUAAAUGUAAAGAACAAAGUGAUUCAGGUGGCUGGACCCUGACCCUUAUGAUGGCAGAGGAAGGUCGUCCUACCUUUCCAUCUCUACAGAUGUGUGGACAAAGCAGAACGGAAAGGCUCAGGAUGACAUUGAUUCUGUGUGAUUGCAGUACCCAAGGUCUGUUCCUCAGUCCGCAUCUCUGGGAACCCUCCAGCGUGAGGAAGAAGAGGAGGCAGUGGGCUCAGCAUCAGCUGCCUUGCAUUCCUUCACAUGCUACAUGGCAACCUUCUCAAUGCCCCCAUCACCAUGGGAAUGAGUGGAAAAAAGGCUCUGAGGGUGGAACUGCAGCUUCUGCAUAGACUUAUCCUACUGCUUCCCCGAUAAUCUAUGGAAUUUACAUGUGUGACGGAUCGUGGACUCUACUUCAUGUCCAACCAGAGCAGUAAAAAAACUGUGCUCCAUUUGUGUACCAUGAAGCAAUCUGCAUUCUGCUAUCCUGUGUUAGAACAAAUAAAUAAAUAAAUAAAUAAAUAGAAUUUA